AGACCGAUAGCGAACAAGUAGAGUGAUCGAAAGAUGAAAAGUACUUUGGAAAGAGAGUUAAAAAGCACGUGAAAUUGUUGAAAGGGAAGCGCCUGCAAUCAGACUUCGCGGCAGUGUUCCGCCGGUCUUCUGACCGGUUUAUUCUCUGUCGCGAGGCCAUCAUCGUCUCGGCCCGCUGGAUAAGACCUUGGGAAUGUAGCUCACCUUCGGGGGAGUGUUAUAGCUCAUGGUGAUGCAGCGAGGCUGGGGCGAGGUCCGCGCUUCGGCAAGGAUGAUGGCGUAAUGGUUGUCGGCGGCCCGUCUUGAAACACGGACCAAG
rnacentral:rRNA from 1 species